UGUCCACGACAGGGGAGCGCGCGAGCGCUGAGAGUGCGGGUGACCGCAGACCCUUUCACCUGAUCCGGUUAGCACCGGCGUAGGGAGUCGAUCCUGAUGAGCA
rfam:Tetrasphaera japonica T1-X7 genomic scaffold, 1540_scaffold1